AAGGCCCGGAUGAGCCGCCGGGGUUCCGCCUCUGUGAACCACUCCUCCGGGUACUGUCCCAGGAGCCUCUGGAGGGAGACAGCAACAUGGACCCCUCAGCUUCAACCUCUUUCUGCUAUUCGGGGGUUUUCUGGCACCCUGGCAGUGUAUCUUUUCUCAGCAUCUUUGAAACCACAGGAAUAGAAAUCAACAGGCCUCGUCGGACCCUCAGGACCCUGCUGCCAUAGGUGUGCUGACAGCCCUGAGGAGGCAAAUCCCCAUUCCACCUGAGAGGGAUCUGUGGGAUGGACAGGAUCCAGUGCUUGGUGAGCUGUUGCUUCAAAAAUCAGCAAUUGCAAUGCUUCCUCCUGAGAAGGAGGCCAAUCUCAUUUCAUCCCUUAUCUUUGCCUGAGAGCCCGCCUUAAUUUCAAAUUUAUAGCAAUUCAGAGAGAGGAGGUUUACAUUUGCCAUUUCAGGGAAGGCUUCUGCCUUCCUUAGCAGACAUCUGUCUUUUCAAACCAAGACAGGAACUUAUAAUUAAAUUUAUAAUUAGCUGUAUAGUCAAGUAUGUUAAAAUAUAGUUCUUGCUUCACCACAAGAGGACUUUGCUUCUUUGCUACCAUAAACAAGACUUUGCGUAUUCGUUUAAAACUGAUAAGCAAGAAAAAAUUGGAUCUGUAGUUUGGACUAUGGCCAGAAGCCUUGGAAAACAACCAGCUACCCAGAGAGCAUGUGCAAAGACCAGGUUCAUCCAAAGCGCACCCGAGGAAGACUGCUUUUACCCCAUUGAUUUCAUCUGACGACCCCCGCCCAAGACCACCAGAAGACAGUACUUAAGCACAGAGCGAUAAGAAGCUGAUUACCAUACAGAGAGGAUGGGGGAAGGCCCGAAUAGGCUAUGAAUAUGUAUAGGUGAUGUUGAAAUCUUUGCAAAUAUCUAUGAGCUUAUGGAUAGAUAACAGAGUCUGUUUGGAUAAGCAUGCUUGGUGAAAAUAUUCUGUGAAAAUA